GCCUGGGUGGCUCAGGCAGUUGAGCAUCUGACUUUGGCUCAGGUUAUGAUCUCACAGUUUGUGGGUUCGAGCCCCACGUCAGGCU
rnacentral:tRNA from 1 species